rnacentral:rRNA from 1 species
AGUGAACGCUGGCGGUAGGCCUAACACAUGCAAGUCGAACGGCAGCACAGUAAGAGCUUGCUCUUACGGGUGGCGAGUGGCGGACGGGUGAGGAAUACAUCGGAAUCUACUUUUUCGUGGGGGAUAACGUAGGGAAACUUACGCUAAUACCGCAUCCGACCUACGGGUGAAAGCAGGGGAUCUUCGGACCUUGCGCGAUUGAAUGAGCCGAUGUCGGAUUAGCUAGUUGGCGGGGUAAAGGCCCACCAAGGCGACGAUCCGUAGCUGGUCUGAGAGGAUGAUCAGCCACACUGGAACGGGGCCACGGUCCAGACUCCUACGGGAGGCAGCAGUGGGGAAUAUUGGACAAUGGGCGCAAGCCUGAUCCAGCCAUACCGCGUGGGUGAAGAAGGCCUUCGGGUUGUAAAGCCCUUUUGUUGGGAAAGAAAAGCAGCAGGUUAAUACCCCGCUGUUCUGACGGUACCCAAAGAAUAAGCACCGGCUAACUUCGUG